rnacentral:rRNA from 1 species
UACGUAGGGCGCAAGCGUUGUCCGGAAUUAUUGGGCGUAAAAGAGCUCGUAGGCGGCUUGUCACGUCGAUUGUGAAAAGCCCCGAGGCUUAACCUCGGGUCUGCAGUCGAUACGGGGCUAGCUAGAGUGUGGUAGGGGGAGAUCGGAAUUCCUGGUGUAGCGGUGAAAAUGCGCAGAUAUCAGGAGGAACACCGGUGGCGAAGGCGGAUCUCUGGGCCAUUACUGACGCUGAGGAGCGAAAAGCGUGGGGGGAGCGAAACAGG